rnacentral:lncRNA from 1 species
CUUGGGACUUAUGUCACAUUCCUCCAUCUGUGGCAUGCAUCUCCAUGCAGCCUAAUCAUCAGAAUUAGGCCCAUGCUUCGAGAUAAGCCCGUAGUACUGAAUCAGCCUUAUUGCAGUAGCUUCUCACCUGAUAAUGAAUCAGUAUGUAUUCUCACCAAUACUUAUCUUGAAGCACAUGUCCAUGACCCCAUGCUCUUGGGUACUCCUUCUAGAUCUUGUACAUAUUUUUCUAGUAUUGGGAAUAGUGUCCCAAAACCAAUCAUCAGCUUGUUGACGGUUGUGCUCAUUUUUGUAUAUGUACAUGAAUUAUGAAUUAAUAAAAAUUAUUUUGAUAUUUUUUAUCACAAAAUAUUUCAUCUUCUAAUGAACUCCUAUGUUGUGGCGAAGUCCUAAGGACUAUUUAGACUCGACAAAGGAGGAUUUGUCGUUUAGUCCUUAAAUCUGUUCGCGACCAAAUGAUACAUUGUUACCAAGGACGACAACGUUUAUCAAGCAUAGGUCGUUGUGUGCCAUAUAGGUUGGUUGUCCUCUUAAUCAAUGAGUG